UGGGGAAUAUUGCACAAUGGGCGCAAGCCUGAUGCAGCGACGCCGCGUGAGGGAUGACGGCCUUCGGGUUGUAAACCUCUUUCAGCUCCGACGAAGCGCAAGUGACGGUAGGAGCAGAAGAAGCACCGGCCAACUACGCGCCAGCAGCCGCGGUAAUACGUAGGGUGCAAGCGUUGUCCGGAAUUACUGGGCGUAAAGAGCUCGUAGGCGGUUUGUCGCGUCGUCUGUGAAAUUCUGCAGCUUAACUGCAGGCGUGCAGGCGAUACGGGCAGACUUGAGUACUACAGGGGGGACUGGAAUUCCUGGUGUAGCGGUGAAAUGCGCAGAUAUCAGGGAGAACACCGGUGGCGAAGGCGGGUCUCUGGGUAGUAACUGACGCUGAGGGGCGAAAGCGUGGGUAGCGAACAGG
rnacentral:rRNA from 1 species